rnacentral:rRNA from 1 species
GUAGGUGGCAAGCGUUGUCCGGAAUUAUUGGGCGUAAAGCGCGCGCAGGCGGUUCUUUAAGUCUGAUGUGAAAGCCCACGGCUCAACCGUGGAGGGUCAUUGGAAACUGGGAGGACUUGAGUACAGAAGAGGAAAGCGGAAUUCCACGUGUAGCGGUGAAAUGCGUAGAGAUGUGGAGGAACACCAGUGGCGAAGGCGGCUUUUCUGGUCUGUAACUGACGCUGAGGCGCGAAAGCGUGGGGAGCAAACAGGGAUUAGAUACCCUGGUAGUCCACGCCGUAAACGAUGAGUGCUAAGUGUAGGGGGUUUCCGCCCCCUUAGUGCUGCAGCUAACGCAUUAAGCACUCCGCCUGGGGAGUACGGCCGCAAGGCUG